UUUUCCCCACUGAAUGUUUUUAGAGGUUUGGAGACACAGAAAAGAUUAACAUGGCUCCUGUGCAAGGAUGGUAUGCAAAUUCUUGAAGUGUUCCAUAUUUUU